rnacentral:rRNA from 1 species
GGGAGGCAGCAGUANUGAAUCUUCCGCAAUGGACGAAAGUCUGACGGAGCAACGCCGCGUGAGUGAAGAAGGUUUUCGGAUCGUAAAGCUCUGUUGUCAGGGAAGAACAAGUACGGAAGUAACUGUCCGUACCUUGACGGUACCUGACCAGAAAGCCACGGCUAACUACGUGCCAGCAGCCGCGGUAAUACGUAGGUGGCAAGCGUUGUCCGGAAUUAUUGGGCGUAAAGCGCGCGCAGGCGGCUUCUUAAGUCUGAUGUGAAAGCCCACGGCUCAACCGUGGAGGGUCAUUGGAAACUGGGAGGCUUGAGUGCAGAAGAGGAGAGCGGAAUUCCACGUGUAGCGGUGAAAUGCGUAGAGAUGUGGAGGAACACCAGUGGCGAAGGCGGCUCUCUGGUCUGUAACUGACGCUGAGGCGCGAAAGCGUGGGGAGCGAACAGGAUUAGAUACCCUGGUAGUCCACGCCGUAAACGAUGAGUGCUAAGUGUUGGAGGGUUUCCGCCCUUCAGUGCUGCAGCUAACGCAUUAAGCACUCCGCCUGGGGAGUACGGCCGCAAGGCUGAAACUCAAAGGAAUUGACGGGGGCCCGCACAAGCGGUGGAGCAUGUGGUUUAAUUCGAAGCAACGCGAAGAACCUUACCAGGUCUUGACAUCCCGCUGACCGGUCUGGAGACAGGCCUUUCCCUUCGGGGACAGCGGUGACAGGUGGUGCAUGGUUGUCGUCAGCUCGUGUCGUGAGAUGUUGGGUUAAGUCCCGCAACGAGCGCAACCCUUGAUCUUAGUUGCCAGCAUUCAGUUGGGCACUCUAAGGUGACUGCCGGUGACAAACCGGAGGAAGGUGGGGAUGACGUCAAAUCAUCAUGCCCCUUAUGACCUGGGCUACACACGUGCUACAAUGGAUGGUACAAAGGGCUGCAAGACCGCAAGGUUUAGCCAAUCCCAUAAAACCAUUCUCAGUUCGGAUUGCAGGCUGCAACUCGCCUGCAUGAAGCCGGAAUCGCUAGUAAUCGCGGAUCANCAUGCCGCGGUGAAUACGUUCCCGGGCCUUGUACACACCGCCCGUCACACCACGAGAGUUUGCAACACCCGAAGUCGGUGGGGUAACCCUUACGG